rnacentral:tRNA from 1 species
UGUGCUAUGGUGUAAUGGCAGCACUAGAGUUUUUGGUUCUCUCAGUCCAAGUUCGAAUCUUGGUAGCACAA